rnacentral:rRNA from 1 species
GAUGAACGCUAGCGGCAGGCUUAACACAUGCAAGUCGAGGGGUAGAGGAAGCUUGCUUCCUUGAGACCGGCGCACGGGUGCGUAACGCGUAUGCAAUCUACCUUAUACAGGGGGAUAGCCCAGAGAAAUUUGGAUUAAUACCCCAUAGUAUAAUUGAAUGGCAUCAUUUAAUUAUUAAAGUUCCAACGGUAUAAGAUGAGCAUGCGUCCCAUUAGCUAGUUGGUGUGGUAACGGCACACCAAGGCGACGAUGGGUAGGGGUCCUGAGAGGGAGAUCCCCCACACUGGUACUGAGACACGGACCAGACUCCUACGGGAGGCAGCAGUGAGGAAUAUUGGUCAAUGGGCGCAAGCCUGAACCAGCCAUGCCGCGUGCAGGAUGACGGUCCUAUGGAUUGUAAACUGCUUUUGUACAGGAAGAAACACUCCUCGUGAGGAGCUUGACGGUACUGUAAGAA